UCUGGUUGAUCCUGCCUGAACUGAUGUGUUCAUUUCAAAGAUUAAGCCAUGCAUGUGUAAGUUUAACCUGCCAGACAGGGAAACUGCGUACGGCUCAUUACACCAGCUAUAAUUUACUUGACCUUGACUUCUUACUUGGAUAACUGUGGUAAUUCUAGAGCUAAUACAUGCACCAAAGCUCCAAUCUCCCCAGAGCGGAGCGCAUUUGUUCGCCACAAAACCAAGCGCCCUCCGGGCGUCCAGUGUUGACUCAGAACAACUAAGCUGAUCGCACGGUCUUGUACCGGCGACGUGUCUUUCAAGUGUCUGCCUUAUCAACUUUCGAUGGUAGUGUAUCUGACUACCAUGGUGAUGACGGGUAACGGAGGAUAAGGGUUCGACUCCGGAGAAGGGGCCUGAGAAAUGGCCACUACGUCUAAGGAUGGCAGCAGGCGCGCAAAUUACCCACUCUCAACGCGAGGAGGUAGUGACGAGAAAUAACGAGACCGAUCUCUUAUGAGGCCGGUCAUCGGAAUGGGUACAAUUUAAACCCUUUAACGAGUAUCUAUGAGAGGGCAAGUCUGGUGCCAGCAGCCGCGGUAAUUCCAGCUCUCAAAUGCAUAGAAUUAUUGCUGCGGUUAAAAGCUCGUAGUUGGAUCUGUGCUAGCCGUCCGGUGCACACUUUUGUGUGUUACUGGUUGGUUGGCUNUUCUGCCGGUCUUCCCNCGGCGUUGGCCUUACCGGUCGGCGUCGGUGGGCUGGCGAGUUUACUUUGAACAAAUCAGAGUGCUUCAAACAGGCGUUUCGCUUGAAUGUUCGUGCAUGGAAUAAUAGAAGAGGAUUUCGGUCCGAUUUUAUUGGUUUUGCUGACCGAGAUAAUGGUUAACAGAGACAAACGGGGCCAUUCGUAUUGCUACGUGAGAGGUGAAAUUCUUGGACCGUAGCAAGACGGACUACAGCGAAAGCAUUUGGCAAGAAUGUCUUCAUUAAUCAAGAACGAAAGUCAGAGGUUCGAAGGCGAUCAGAUACCGCCCUAGUUCUGACCGUAAACGAUGCCAACUAGCGAUCCGCCGGCGGAUUUAUUCGCCCUGGUGGGGAGCUUCCCGGAAACGAAAGUCUUCCGGUUCCGGGGGAAGUAUGGUUGCAAAGCUGAAACUUAAAGGAAUUGACGGAAGGGCACCACCAGGAGUGGAGCCUGCGGCUUAAUUUGACUCAACACGGGGAAACUCACCCGGCCCGGACACCGUAAGGAUUGACAGAUUGAUAGCUUUUUCAUGAUUCGGUGGAUGGUGGUGCAUGGCCGUUCUUAGUUCGUGGAGCGAUUUGUCUGGUUUAUUCCGAUAACGAGCGAGACUCUAGCCUACUAAAUAGUUGGCUCAUUGCUUCUGUGGGCACAACUUCUUAGAGGGAUUUUCGGUGUUCAGCCGCACGAAAUUGAGCAAUAACAGGUCUGUGAUGCCCUUAGAUGUCCGGGGCUGCACGCGCGCUACACUGGCAAAAUCAGCGUGCUUGUCCUUCCCCGAAAGGGGUUGGUAAACCGGUGAAAAUUUGCCGUGAUUGGGAUCGGACAUUGCAAUUAUUGUCCGUGAACGAGGAAUUCCUUGU
rnacentral:rRNA from 1 species